AUUUUUUUUUAAUUAAGUCUUAUUUGUUGAUAAAAUAAUUACCCAAAAAUCGUCAACUUCAAAAAAUUUAUAUAACUGCGGGAACAUUCAGACAAAUACAUUCACAUUCACAUAUCGCACCAUUCACAUAUAACUGCGGGAACAUUCAGACAAAUACAUUCACAUUCACAUAUCCACAUUCACGUGAAAAGUUAUUUUGACAAUUAAAAAGUUUUCUAACACCAUAUUUUAAUACAUUUAUUAAUGUAAUAGUAUUUUUUUCUUGAUAUAAUCAAAUUUAUUAUUUAAAAUCUUUAAAGAGUAUCUUUAAGACACACGUUAGAGUGCAUUUUUAUAAUAGAGUGUAUUUUUAUAGUGUUGAUGUACUUAAAGAGAAAUUUAAUUAUAAGUUUUUAUAUAACCACUUUACUAUGUAGGCUAAAGGGACAAUAACAACACAUUGAUUUACUUAAGAGACAUUUAGUAAUGAUUUUAAUUAGAACAAAAUUCAAAUGCAUGUGUAAGCAUAGGGCAAAGUCAAAAAUCAAGGGAUCACCAACUUAAGUUUCAAGUUAGAGUCUUAGGCUCUCUAAGUCACAAAUUCUCAACAAAAAUGGGCACUCACCUCACAAAAUCACUCAUUGUAGAAGAAUGUAAUUGAGUCUCACUAAAUUGUUUAUCAGCGAAUAAGUCCUGCUAUAGGGUUGACAAUAAACCUACUUUUCUACUAUUUCUCUUGUGGAAGCAAACAUGAAUAAAAAAAGCACUCUUUAAAGUGCUUCAUUUUCAUUAUACAUGCUUCACAAGAAAAUAGCUUCAAAAAGGUUACAAGUAAAAUUCUAGAGGAACANNN
rnacentral:lncRNA from 1 species